GACGAACGCUGGCGGCGUGCCUAUUACAUGCAAGUAGAACGCAGUUGCGAACGGGUGAGUAACGCGUAGGUAACUGCCUCAUAGCGGGGGUUAACUAUUGGAAACGAUAGCUAAUACCGCAUACUGUGAGAUGGACCUGCGUUGUAUUAGCUCGUUGGUGAGGUAAAGGCUCACCAAGGCGACGUUACAUAGCCGACUUGAGAGGGUGAUCGGCCACCCUGGGGUAGAGAGACGGCCCAGACUGCUACGGCAGGCAGCAGUAGGGAAUCGACGGCAAUGGACUGAAGUCUGACCGAGUAACGCCUAGUGAGUGAAUCAGGUGUUCCGAUCGUAAAGCUCUGGUGUUAGAGAAGCGGUAACUAAACAGAAAGGGACGGCUAACUACGUGCAAGCAGCCGCGGUAAUUC
rnacentral:rRNA from 1 species